rnacentral:pre_miRNA from 1 species
GGCUCUGGCUCCGUGUCUUCACUCCCGUGUUUGUCCGAGAAGGGAGGGAGGGACGGGGGCUGUGCU